CCGGGCAGAAAGUCGCAUCAUGGGACGAACAAAAAAAUAACUUGAGUUGUUUUUGAUAUCAUGGCAUGUUUGAUAUUUGUUCCAAAAACUCUUAAAAUGCGCGCCGAAAUCUAUGUUCCUUUCUAUGUUUGUAGACCUUUUAUCAUCAGUUGAUAAAUUUUCAUUUUCUCAUGAUAUUACCGGACUUAGAAAAAAAUCGAAAGCCGAAUUAUUUUGGGACUUAGAAAAAAAAUUGACCUCUUUAUCAUGAGAUGAUAUAAUUUUGUUUUAUCAUGUUUUUGCUGGACUUAGAAAAAUUUCGAAAGCCAAAUUAUUUUGGGACUUAGAAAAAAUUUCGAAAUCUUUAUCAUGCAAUGAUAUUAUUUUGUUUUAUCUUGAUUUUGCUGGACUUAGCAGAAUUUCGAAAGCCAAAUUAUUUUGGGACUUAGAAAAAAUUUCGACCUCUUUAUCAUGAGAUGAUAUUUUCUAGUUUUAUCUUGUUUUUGUUGGACUUAGCAAAAUUUUCACUCCUCGACAAAAUUUCACUUUUCCGACACUUAGAAUAUUUUUGAAAACCCUGGAUUAUGAGAUGAUUUAUAAAAUUAAAUUUUUUUCAAGCGGGACUUACCUAAAAUGGCAGUUUUGUUAAUGGACAUUUUUAUUGAAUUUUUUUUUCACUUUAAUUUACUUCAAAUACACUAGUUAAACUAAUCACAUUAAAAAGUAUUUUACCGCAUAUAAAAUUUCAUCGCAAAGCGCAAAAAUGAGCCCACGCGCUCGCUCUCUCUCUCUCUUCUCUCUUCUUUCGUUCACUGCUCGCACGCAACGCGCGCGACCUGUCUUGACAGGAAUCGGCAAUCGGCAGACAGACAGCUUUUGCGUUCGUGGCGGGCUGGUUUGUUUACGUUUUCGCGCAGUAGUUUUCCGCGGAUGAAUUAUAGUCCGCGAAUCGCCGCGGGUUGUGAGUACGUUCUGUGGCCGAGGUAGUGUGUGUUCGUUCGUUCCGUGGUGUUCGAGACCGUGAUAUGUUGUGGUUAAGUGAUUGUUUGUGUUUUUGUGGCUGGGGGGCGAAGAAAAAGUUUCGCUCCGUGUUGACGGGUGCAAGGAAAGUUUCGGCCAAGCCGCUGCCCCAGAAAAGUAAUCCUCUUGCUCAAGAUGCUGCUGUGGAUUAACGAGGAAAGGAUUUUGGCGGAUUCGCCAGGACAAGGACAAGGGUUUGUUUACGUUUUUGGUGCAGUAGUUUUCCACUGAUUAACAACAGCCUGCGAAUCGCCGCGGGUUGUAAGUGCGUAUUUUGGCCGUGGGAAUGUGCGUUCGUUGGUGUCGUUUUAUGUGAGAGUUGCGAAAUGUUUGUGGAAAAAAAAAUUACGUUAGCGAAAUCCUCCUGCCUACAUGCCGCUUUUCAUCGUUCCUCCUCCUCCUCCUGCCGGUGAUGUUAAGACGUGGAUCAACGCCGGAAUGAUUUUGGCGAUUUUGACAGUUUUCGGUGGAGGAAAACAGCAGUGUCGAUUUGUUUUGGUUUUUGUCGUCGCGUCAUCAGAAUCGCGAUUUGUGGGGAAACCGUAUUUGAUCCGUGUGUUUUCGCGAGUGUGCGUGUGAUUGUUUACGUUUCUGCAUCAUGGUGGUGAUUGGGGACUGGACGUGACACUGUGACAUUGUUUCUAUCGUUUUGGAGUGUCAGCGACAGAAGGAUGAACCUUCCUCUUGUGAUUCCGGAGGAGGUGAUUCAAUUGAGUGGCUCGAAAGCAGUUUCACGGAGGAGGAUGAGUCCACCUGAAGCGGCUACAGAUGUUGUUUCUACUAGUCAAGCCGACAAAUAUUUUUCGACGAUUUUUAAAACUCAGAUAAGUAUUGCUUGUUUUCUUUUUCUUUGUUUACUAUUGAAUUUUUAAUUAUUCCAUAAAUUUUGUUUGAGAAUUGAUGCUUUGUGUUUUAUUUUCUUUUACAGAUCUACUAACGGGCAUUUUCUGGACAUUCGGCUUCUAGAAUUUUGUUUACUUUGACCAAUCAGCUGCAAAAAUGAAUUGUGCUGCAAUCAUAUGCUCUCUGGAUGGAUUGGAUGAGGAUUAACAAGGUAUGUACGAGAAUUAUUAUUUCAAAGUGAACCUAUCACUUCAGUUUAGAAAUUCUUUCAAACAUUUCAAUGUUUGUUUAGCAAAGUUCAGUUUUUCAUUCUGUUAUUUAUGCUGAUUUUGAAUACACAUUAUUGACUUUUGACAGAUUGAUAUAAAAUUCUGAAAAUAAAUUAUUUAUUGAUAAGGAUUGCAUAUAUUUUUUUUAUUCUUUCCUUUAAAGACCAUAUUUUUGUUUAUUUUUUUUUUGUUUGGGAAUUUUAUAAAUUUAAAUGUUUGUAUAAGACCGAGCCACGUUGCCCAGUUGUAACGCUUCCGCCUUGACAAUAUUUACAAAUUUCUACACUUUCAAAUAGGUUUGCUAGAAUUUCAGGAAAAUUUUCAGCGGCUAAUGCAAAUAAAUUAGUGCAUUAUUGAUUUGUUUAGUUCAAUUGUACAGAUUUUCGAAGCUUUUUCUUUGACUUGGCUUUACAAAAAGUUUGAUUUGUUUUAAUAUUGUUAGUAGUAUGCAAUUUUGGAUGUAAUUUUUUGCUGCCCCCUGAUUUUUCGGGCAAACUUCGAAGGGAGAAGUGACAAAAACUUUAAAUAAAAUUUGUACCAGCCUUACUUAUUCACACUAAACUUUGAAUUAAUUCGAAUUAUACGGCAAAUGAUACAGUCAUCCCACAUAUUCGGAACACCCACAAAUUCGGAACACUUUUGUGAUAAUUUGUCAAAAGCAUGCCAAAUGCAUCUUUUCUGUGUACCUUUAUUUGGACAUUCUUUUGCUAUUUCAUUAAUAUAAGUAGAACUUUUAAACAAAAAACUGCAUUUCGAGACCAUUUUAUUCAGAGCAGCAAAACGCUGCUUCCAAAUUGCCUGUUCCAUAAUUGUGUGAUAUUUUCACAAAAAAAGUUAGCAGACCAUUCAUAAAACAUUACUAAGCAUGAGUUUUAUUGGUUUCAGAAUGUGAAGUCACUUUUUUUUUCAAUAUGUACCCCAGGAGCGAUAAAAAAGAUUGUUUACAUCGUAAGAAAAAAGUGUUCCGAAUUUGUGGAUUUCAAGGGUCAAAGUUUUUCUUCAAAAACUUGAUAUAAAAUGUUAAAAUUUGCAGUUGUUCAAUACAGCAUUCGAAAGAUCGCAAAAACAGCUUUCAAAUGAAGGUAAAAGCGAAUCAUUAUGUUCAAUUAUCGAUUUUCUAUGAUUUUUUGAACAUUGGCCGAUCUGUAAACUGUUCCGAAUAUGAGGGAUGACUGUAUACAAAUAUUAAAAAAAAUUUAGAUUGUCAUUAUGUUUAGUCUUCCAGCAGUUUGUUUGCUAGAGUUUUUAAUUUUAGGCUUAUUCAAUAAAAAUAAAUUUUACUAGAAAAUCACAUUAUAUCAUUAAAUUAAUUUGUUUUAUUUAAAUACAAUUGAAAAACAGUCUAUAUGAAACUUAUAUUUUCUUACUGUGUAUUACGCUUUCUAAAGCAACCAAAUUAUUACAGAAAAAAAAAUAUCUGGAAACAUCACAACUUGUUAUGAAACUUUUAUGUUUUUGUAUGAUAUUUUUCGCCCCAUAUUUUUCCAGGAAAAAAAUGAACUGGUCGGGAUAAUUUUAUGUUUAUGGAUGAUAUUUUUCCGCACCAUAGCAUGAUAAUUUGAAGUUUCCAACACGAACUUAAGUUGAUAAUUUUUUGAUAUGCGUAGAGUAAAUUAUGUUCGCGUUUAUGUUUGAUUAACUCUUAACUGGAAGUUAACAGGUACUUGACAUGUUUGUGUUUUUGCGAACAUGACAAGUUUUCAGGAAGAUGUAACUUUCUGCCCGGAUAACCGAACAUGGCCACGAACAUAAAUUGUUCGAGGUGUAUCUGCGAAAAAUCUUGUUGAGUUUAUUUGACCAACAAUGCCACAUCAAGUUGAGUUUAUAGUAGCAAACAACUGAAAUCUUCCAAAAAUCAUAUCAAGUUCAUAAAGUAGAUUUUGAUCCCAAAAAUAAUUUUAUUGGUUUUUAAUGCACCCC